UAGGGAAUCUUCCACAAUGGACGCAAGUCUGAUGGAGCAACGCCGCGUGAGUGAAGAAGGUUUUCGGAUCGUAAAGCUCUGUUGUUGGUGAAGAAGGAUAGAGGUAGUAACUGGCCUUUAUUUGACGGUAAUCAACCAGAAAGUCACGGCUAACUACGUGCCAGCAGCCGCGGUAAUACGUAGGUGGCAAGCGUUGUCCGGAUUUAUUGGGCGUAAAGCGAGCGCAGGCGGAAGAAUAAGUCUGAUGUGAAAGCCCUCGGCUUAACCGAGGAACUGCAUCGGAAACUGUUUUUCUUGAGUGAAGAAGAGGAGAGUGGAAUUCCAUGUGUAGCGGUAGAAUGCGUAGAUAUAUGGAAGAACACCAGUGGCGAAGGCGACUCUCUGGUCUGCAACUGACGCUGAGGCUCGAAAGCAUGGGUAGCGAGCAGG
rnacentral:rRNA from 1 species